UUUUAAUUGAAGGCUUGUAUGAAGGGUCGGACAAAGGAUAAGCUGUCUUUAAUCUUUCUUUUGAAUUUGUCUUUUAAGUGAAAAGACUUAAAUUAUUUUAAGGGACGAUAAGACCCUAUAAAGCUUUAUAUUAAUAUGUCUUUAUUUUAAUUUUUAAUGUUUACAGAGAUAAAGGUGUUAAAAUAUUAUAUUGGGGUGAUAAGAAUAAUUAAUAAACUGUUCUAAAAUAAACAAAGUUAUUUGUAAGCAUAAUAGAUCCUUUAUAUAGAUUGCAAGUUUAAGUUACUUUAGGGAUAACAGCGUUAUUUUUUUUGAGAGUUCUAAUCGAAAAAAAAGUUUGCGACCUCGAUGUUGAAUUAAAAUUUCUUUAUGGUGUAGCCGUUAUAAAAGAAAGUCUGUUCGACUUUUAAAAUUUUACGUGAUCU
rnacentral:rRNA from 2 species